GACGAACGCUGGCGGCGUGCUUAACACAUGCAAGUCGAGCGGUAAGGCCCUUUCGGGUACGACGAGCGGCGAACGGGUGAGUAACACGUGGGUGGCCUGCCCUCAGCUCUGGGAGUAAGCCUGGGAAACCGGGUCUAAUACCGGAUAUGACUCCAUGACGCAUGUUGUGGGGUGGAAAGCCUUGUGCGGCUGAGGAUGGGCCCGCGGCCUAUCAGCUUGUUGGUGGGGUGAAUGGCCUACCAAGGCGACGACGGGUAGCCGGCCUGAGAGGGCGACCGGCC
rnacentral:rRNA from 1 species